rnacentral:rRNA from 1 species
CCUACGGGAGGCAGCAGUGAGGAAUAUUGGUCAAUGGCCGGAAGGCUGAACCAGCCAUGCCGCGUGAAGGUCAGUGCCCUAUGGGCGUUAAACUUCUUUUGUGCGGGAGCAAUAAUGGUCACGUGUGGCCAGACGAGAGUACCGUACGAAUAAGCAUCGGCUAACUCCGUGCCAGCAGCCGCGGUAAUACGGGGGAUGCAAGCGUUAUCCGGAUUUAUUGGGGUUAAAGGGUGCGUAGGCUGUGAGGUAAGUCAGCGGUGAAAUGCCCCCGCUCAACGGGGUGAAGUGCCAUUGAUACUGCCUUGCUGGAAUGCGGAGGCCGUGGGAGGAAUGUGUGGUGUAGCGGUGAAAUGCAUAGACAUCACACAGAACACCGAUUGCGAAGGCAUCUCACGAAUCCGCGAUUGACGCUGAUGCACGAAAGCGUGGGUAUCAAACAGGAUUAGAUACCCCAGUAGUC